rnacentral:lncRNA from 1 species
GGCGGCCUGCAGCUGUCCGCAGGAACGUCGGGCUCUUCGACCGUCGUGCAAAGUCUGUCGGGGGAAUUCAGCGCUGAUUCGAAACAGUACGAGCAGCUGCGGGGCGAAGUCCGCCUCACGCGCCCUCAAAUCCUCACAGUCAAUUCAGUUGGAAGAUUUUUGUUUUUUCCUUUCUGCUCUACUUGUGGUUGUAUGCAUUAUUACUGUGGUUGCUGAUAUUGUUACAGAGACGUGUCAUUUCUUCAAGGCUCGUGUUGUAACAUUGUGAUCCUGUUGAACAGCUCACAAUAAAAACAAAAUCCCCAACUCUGCAGAUGUAAAAGUAUUUUUUUUUAAAGUCAAGUCUUUGGUAAGUAAUUAAGUACAUGCUUGUAAUAAUUCUGCAUGUGAAGAGAUACCUGGUGUUGCGAUGGGAAACUCCAUCUUCUACACAGCAAACACUUGUCUUCUGAUCUCCCACAUCUACUAUACAUGCACUGCCUAAACCACUUCCAAAUGUAGCACAGACAGA